ensembl:lncRNA
CUCCGUUACAGGAAGCAGCCGGGCCGCUCUGCGGCCGCCAUCUUGGGUGCUGGCAAACUGCCUCACUCUCUGUAGGUCGGCCAUCUUGGACGAGGGGUGAGGUAGGGAGGCAGGGAGGUGACGCUGCGGCUGCCAUGUUGAGUGAGGGCAGCCUGACAAGAUCUUGAUGGUGCUGCCGUAUGAGAUGGGGCAAUCAUCGUUCCACUUUUCAUGUCUCUGUGUGACCAGAGGGUAAACAUCUUGAACUUCAGAGUCUGCAUACCACCUAAUCCCGAGGGAGUCCCCAGGGCCUGUCUGCAUUGAGCUGAAACCUCAGUUCUUAAGCAUCAGGAUCUGCCAGAUUUACAGCCUUCAAAGAGUAGCUUAGCAUCCAAAAUAGUGUAAAGCCUGUGCUGACCUGGCAGGACAGAAGCAGCAACAAGGGAGCUGAAAGGAUACUCCACGGGAGCCAACUGCCAUUGAAACCCAGAAUCUGUCCCAGUCCUUUGACUUGCUUUCUUUAAGCCAGGAUUUGUGUGCUUGUGAACAGACAUCAGGCAGGAAUCUACACUUGGAUUCUCAUCAGAAUCAUGGUAGAAGGCAAACAUCCUCAGAGGCCCUUUGUACACACUAGAGCUAGGUCCUCUGGAAGACCAUUCAGGACAUUAGAAUAAUCACUGAUAAAUCAUCCUCUGAAGGAGUGCCUCACUUUCCACUGCCUGUAUAGGAAAUCCAGAGACCAGAUUGACUGCAGCUGAAAUUAGAUGCUGCGUAAGGUGGCGUGAAUGCCCCCACAGUUUCAGCUACUACUCACCCAUUAAAAGGCUUCCAGUUUUCCCACUAAUGCAGCCACACUCGGCUGGCCUAAGCAAAAAAGCAGCCUGUGGAAAAUUGUGUAUUAAGCAUCAGUCUUUAUUGCACCAAAUAGCUCUUUUAAAUCCUCACCCUGGGAAGCUGUUGACACACGUUUGAAUCACUCUACUACCUUCUCCCAAUAAAUGUAUGUGUAAUUGUGUUUGUGUAUACUAGUUACAU